rnacentral:rRNA from 1 species
UACGUAGGGUGCGAGCGUUAAUCGGAAUUACUGGGCGUAAAGCGUGCGCAGGCGGUGCGCCAAGCUCGAUGUGAAAGCCCCGGGCUCAACCUGGGAAUGGCAUGGGAAACUGGCGGGCUGGAGUGUGGCAGAGGGGGGUGGAAUUCCGCGUGUAGCAGUGAAAUGCGUAGAGAUGCGGAGGAACACCGAUGGCGAAGGCAGCCCCCUGGGCCAACACUGACGCUCAGGCACGAAAGCGUGGGGAGCAAACAGG